CUCCCAUCUGUGCGGUGGAAGAUUGAGGCUGCUCUCUUGAUUCACAGUCCCUGUCUGACAGGAUUGCAUUCUAUGUGAGGGAGAGAAGAGCCUGCCUGCCUGUUGGACAAUAAGCAAAGCUACAGCCCGAUUUAGGCUUUUCCAAAGACGCUGAGGGUUCUGAAAACCGAUCUGAGAUGUUUUGGAUUAAAAUCUGCAUUUGGUCACA